rnacentral:tRNA from 1 species
AGGAAAGUAUUUUAAUAAAAAAAUCUAAUCUGCAAUUAGAAAUUGACUUCCCCCCCCCCUUUCCUC